rnacentral:rRNA from 1 species
UGGACGAAAGUCUGAUGGAGCAACGCCGCGUGAGUGAAGAAGGGUUUCGGCUCGUAAAACUCUGUUGUUAAAGAAGAACAUAUCUGAGAGUAAACUGUUCAGGUACUUGACGGUAUUUAACCAGAAAGCCCACGGCUAACUACGUGCCAGCAGCCGCGGUAAUACGUAGGUGGCAAGCGUUGUCCGGAGUUAUUGGGCGUAAAGCGAGCGCAGGCGGUUUUAAGUCUGAUGUGAAAGCCUUCGGCUCAACCGAAGAAGUGCAUCGGAAACUGGGAAACUUGAGUGCAGAAGAGGACAGUGGAACUCCAUGUGUAGCGGUGAAAUGUGUAGAUAUAUGGAAGAACACCAGUGGCGAAGGCGGCUGUCUGGUCUGUAACUGACGCUGAGGCUCGAAAGUAUGGGUAGCAAACAGGAUUAGAUACCCUGGUAG